rnacentral:tRNA from 1 species
CCAUAGCUCAGCUGGUAGAGCAACUGUCUUGUAAACAGUAGGUCCUCGGUUCGAAUCCGGGU